AGUUAGUCCUAACCACCUUCAUUUUUUGGAUAUAGGUCGUGGAAAUCUAUACAUAAGUGCUUUAAAAACCAUGUCGAAAAAACUGCUCUUUACAAUCAUUGUGCUCACCAUUUGCCUAUUAACUUUACCUGACUUGGGCAACUGUCAGGUUUUCGGAGAGUGUCUUCCUGAUGGGUUUGCCUGUAAUCCUGGCUUAACUGGUUGCUGUUCUGGUACUUGUGUCGUAAUAAAUGGUCAAAUUGAAGGUAUAUGUCAAGAUGUGGAUGACAAAUAAGGAUGUAAAUAA